UACGUAGGGGGCUAGCGUUGUCCGGAUUUAUUGGGCGUAAAGAGCGUGUAGGCGGCCAGGUAGGUCUGGUGUGAAAACUCGAGGCUUAACCUCGAGAUGUCGGCGGAAACCAUCUGGCUAGAGUCCGGAAGAGGAGAAUGGAAUUCCCGGUGUAGCGGUGAAAUGCGCAGAUAUCUGGAGGAACACCGGUGGCGAAGGCGACGUCCUGGACCGGCAUUGACGCUGGAGGCGCGAAAGCCAGGGGAGCAAA
rnacentral:rRNA from 1 species